UACGUAGGGGGCAAGCGUUGUCCGGAUUUAUUGGGCGUAAAGGGCGUGUAGGCGGUUAGAUAGGUCCGUUGUGAAAACUCGAGGCUCAACCUCGAGACGUCGGCGGAAACCAUCUGGCUAGAGUCCGGAAGAGGAGAGUGGAAUUCCUGGUGUAGCGGUGAAAUGCGCAGAUAUCAGGAAGAACACCCGUGGCGAAGGCGGCUCUCUGGGACGGUACUGACGCUGAGACGCGAAAGCGUGGGGAGCGAACAGG
rnacentral:rRNA from 1 species